rnacentral:rRNA from 1 species
UACGAAGGGGGCAAGCGUUGUUCGGAAUUACUGGGCGUAAAGGGCGCGUAGGCGGCUUAUCAAGUCAGGCGUGAAAUUCCCGGGCUCAACCUGGGGGCUGCGCUUGAUACUGAUGAGCUUGAAUGCGGGAGAGGAUAGUGGAAUUCCACGUGUAGCGGUGAAAUGCGUAGAGAUGUGGAGGAACACCAGUGGCGAAGGCGACUCUUUGGCCUGUAACUGACGCUGAGGCGCGAAAGCGUGGGGAGCAAACAGG